UUCUCCAUAGAGGACACAAUCUUGAUCUAAAGCCUCGAGGUCUUCAUCGUGACUCUCCCGUUGGGGCUCACCAGAGAUGUCCCACGCUUCUUUCUCUCUUUCUAGUCACCAUGGAAUUUUCUUGACCCACUUGCCCUGCAACCUGGACCCGCUGCAGCGUCCCUUCUGGCGCUGGGCCUCUUCCAUGCUGCCCGCUGAGGGGCACAGCAGCAGCCCCAGGUGCUGAGCCCUCCGCCCAGCUGUAUAUGCUUCGCCCUCCCCGAUCCCAGUUCCAGAGUAGGGCAGGGGUGGGGACGGUGGUGGCGGCAGCACAGGCCCAGUAGCACCGGCUGCAAAUGGCCCCUCUCUUUCCAUAGGAGACUGGUGUCCCCAUGUUGGGUUUGGUCCUGGUUCAGGCUGUGAUGUUGGGGGCAGACCUGAGGAGGGUGGGCAUUGGCGUAUGAGUCACCAGGCUCCUCUGGGGCCUCCGUCUGUCCUUCUAGCAAGAGUGAGCUUGUGUCUUCUGAGAAGGGGGCAACACCUACAGGCCCAGAUGGUCCAGGGGAGUGUGAGAGUCAAGGCUCUUCAGUGCAUUGACCUGCCUUGCAAUGGAAAGAGACCAACUGAGAGACCAGAGAGAGCCAGAAAGCCAGAGAAGACAAAGGGAACAGAGGCCCAGCCAGCCCCCAGCGUCCCAGCUGUGCCAUCCCCAACCUGCAGCAGAGGCGAGCCAUUCGGUGAGCCCUGCCCGGAGCCCUGGCGCCAGGAGCCUGCAUUGUCAGUCCAGGCCUCUAUGUGUGGAGGUUUCCUUUGAAAAUAUCCCCCCAAAUCCGGGGAGAUUGGAGGUGAUGAGAAAGAGAUAUAAAUAUAUUUAUCCAUUGACAGGUAUGUAUCUGUAUGUGGAUAAUAUAUUUGUGUAAAAUCUCUCCUGAGCCAGAUGGGCCCGUUGACUCUCCUUCCUUUGGAAAUCGGUUCUGCGUAAAGGAUUGAGAUGUAAUUUAUAUGCUUCCGUAAAUGACAAGGGUUUGCCCGUAUAAUUAGCAAUAAUGAUAAAUAAAAAUAAAAUGUGGGCUUAUCCA
rnacentral:lncRNA from 1 species